rnacentral:rRNA from 1 species
GAUGAACGCUGGCGGCGUGCUUAACACAUGCAAGUCGAACGGAAAGGCUCCUGCUUGCAGGGGUACUCGAGUGGCGAACGGGUGAGUAACACGUGGGUGAUCUGCCCUGCACUUCGGGAUAAGCCUGGGAAACUGGGUCUAAUACCGGAUAGGACGAUGGUUUGGAUGCCAUUGUGGAAAGUUUUUUCGGUGUGGGAUGAGCUCGCGGCCUAUCAGCUUGUUGGUGGGGUAAUGGCCUACCAAGGCGUCGACGGGUAGCCGGCCUGAGAGGGUGUACGGCCACAUUGGGACUGAGAUACGGCCCAGACUCCUACGGGAGGCAGAAGUGGGGAAUAUUGCACAAUGGGCGCAAGCCUGAUGCAGCGACGCCGCGUGGGGGAUGACGGCCUUCGGGUUGUAAACUCCUUUCGCUAGGGACGAAGCGCAAGUGACGGUACCUGGAGAAGAAGCACCGGCUAACUACGUG